GACGCGCGUGCCUCUCUCUCCUUCCCCAUCAAGACUCGCUUCGCCCAAUCCCCGCCUCUUCGUCCGUCUCCACAGGCCAUCGUCAGCCGCCGCCGUCGCCCGUCAUUGUCUUCAUCACUGCCUGCUUGUCAUUGUCGGUUAGGGGGUAAGGAUUUGCCUCCCCUUCCAACAAAUCGAUUUCGUUCUUCCAGUGCCAGCAUUAUGCGCUGAUUUGUUACCGCCAAGGUCCAGGUUCCCACGCUCACGGUGAAGAGGCUAUGGCAAAGGGCAUGCAGAGGAGCAGCAGGGCUCACUGAGGGGGAGAGGGCGUUACAAAGGGGAGCCGUGAAGGAGGAGGGGCCGCGGCAGCAGCAGCUCGCGAUGGCGGAGAAGAUUCCGUGGCGGUGAAGCGGAGCUUGCAUAUGUGCGGACCGCACUCCGCAGGAGAGCGUGCGCCGCCGGCAAGGCUGCGCCCACGUCGCUGAAGUAGCAGGGGAAGCCGAAGGAGGGGGCGCGGCAUCCCAUGGCCGCGGUAGCCGGCGGGGCGACCCACGUCGCUGAAGUAGCAGGGGAAGCCGAACGAGGGCGCACGGCAUCCUGUGGCCACGAUAGCCGGCGGGGCGACGCGGCAUCGCUGACUCUACAUCCACCGCCGUCCCUUUGAGUCUCGCGUGGUGGCCUGCAGGGUGACAGGAGGAGGGGCACGGGUUGCUGCUCAUGGCACUGCUGCGCCCAGGCUCUUCCUCCUCGACAAGUCUAGGUCAUUCCUCAUCUCAUCUGACCGCACUCAUGCCACAUAACCUGCUACAGCCGCGCGCUGUGUGUGGCGAGGGAUUACUUCUCCUGUGCAGUAAUACCCUUUUUGGAGUGUCCCAUGUUUGCAACUAUCCUUAUCUGCAGAGAAAAACAAAGGGACAAACAAAGUCCGGAUGCAAGGUGCAAGGCAGGAAAGGCGGUAGUAGGUCGAGAGAAGUGUAGAAGAGGGUUCCUCCAGGCUCCGUCCAUGUACGGUGUCGGUCCGAUGCCUCGGGCAUGUGGCAAUGUCGGGGACCAGCGAGGAAGAUGCUGGUGUACAUCCUUUGGAAUAAAGUUGAAGUAAGCUCUAAGCACCACGGAGCCUACCACGCACGCCAUCUUGUUUAUAGUGCAGAUAAUCUAUAAACUACUGUUUAGGAAAGGAUUUAUAGUGUCUCUGAUAUAACGGUUCAGAAUAAAUAUCCAAUGAAGAUGAUGCGUGACGAACAGCAUGGUGAUGAUCCAUAAAGCCCUACAUUGUUCUUUUGCUCGCUGGUGAAUUUACUACUUUCUGAUUGCAUGCCAAGUAGCCGAGCAGACACUUUCUUCGUAGAUUAGUUGUUUAGUUUCAUAUACUCAAUGCUUUGUCGAGUGUGGUGUCAUUGCAACAGCAGAGCUCAAACAUCCUUCAAAGUAUGUCUCAGGUUUAAGAAUGCUAAGCCCAGCAGUCUAUAAUGCAUAUAUAAAAGAUGGAAACUACACAAUCAUAUCCUUAGAGUGCAUAAAUAUCAUCUAUGCUGUUGGGAAUUAUAAUGAAAUAUUGAUAACUGAAUGAAUACUCUUGUUAACUCACCGGGUGAUGGAAUUAAAUUGAAGAGACAUAUUCUGAAAAUCAAAAUUAUUUCUGAGUUUGUAUUCUACUCGUACACAUCUUCAUAUCCACCAGCACAUUCAAAUUCUAUAUAUGCAUGGAGUAGCAAUACGAUUGGUCAAAAUAAAAAGACAGGAUGCUGCUUUGCAGAAAGUGGUCGUCAAGUAAUUAUUCUGCUGUUGGAAAUCGCCCACGAUCGAUCACAAUUCACAUCAAGUCGACGAACAUGACACACAAAAACUUUUGGCCAGAGGCACGUGCCAUGUCUUGUUCUUCUCUUUAUUUCUUUUCUAUUUUCUCCACACGAUUACAAAACUCAUGCAGCUUCAUGUGUGUGUGUGUGUGUGUCUAUACACACACGCGCGCGCGUGAAGCCAAUAACUGAACCGAGUAGUGGAAUAUUGUUGGUGCAAAUAAAUGUUCUUUGAGUUUAGAUGAUGCAUGGAUAAAUAACUGAACCGAGUAGUGGAAUAUUGUUGGUGCAAAUAAAUGUUCUUUGAGUUUAGAUGAUGCAUGGAUAAAUAACUCUAUGUGAUGAUUUAUUUGCCGGCACUGAUUACAUUCCCCAUGCGUUGUUGACGUUCCCACCCUUUGCCCUGCUAAUUCACGAAUUAGGUUUCAGACCCGAUAGCUUGUUAUGCUGUGUUGCAAUUAAACAGAAGUAUGGAUCUAGGAAAUUCAUGACUAGCUAUUGGUCUUCCUUUCAGCAGUAGAGAGAUGCCUGGUCAGCAGAUAUAUGUGUCUGAAACCUUUGCAUGGUGUACAUGCUAUACUAUGUAAUAAAUAAAAGGUAGUUAAAUUUUUUAUUAUGCUGCUAAGAUACCCAAUCAGACUGAUUAUACAUACACCCAAAACAAUUUAUUAUAGUCUGAACUAUGAAACUAUACUCAAGAGGAAAGGUUAUACAUCAAUCCUUUCUGCAGAUUUCUUAUCAGCUCAUUCUGUCCUGUAUGAUUAUUUUAUGCCAAGCAAAUUGCUAGAUAUAUUCAUACUCUCCGUUUAACCAUAACAUCAAGAACACCCAAAAAUUAGCAAUCCUAACAGGUCUGCUGCUUGCGGGCAGAAAGUAACUAUCAAGGAAGAAGAGUUAGAUGCUAGCGACAUACCUGUCGAAGAUAUUGGCGGUAAGCAUGUGUCGUACAGGUUAUUUAAGCUUUCCCUUAAGCCAUUCUUAGCCAACCCCGUGCAGUCCAUGCGCUAUGCAUAAGAACCACAGAUCGCUCAAGCAGCGUCGAAGCCUGCCUGUGACUGUUCCAAAUGCAUGCUUAUCAAUCCAGCCAGCUCUGAGGCAAAAACUUGAACACAGAGCUUCACACAGCAAUGUUUGCCUCAGCAACAACGCCACAGGUAAAUACAUAGCCGGAAAAGAAAAGUUGUUUGCAAUUGUUCAUAUACCUUAGUUUCCUAUUCCUGACUCUCUUUGUUCAGAACCGGACCAUCGAUGGAAAAGGGUCCAUUUAGCUGAUGGGGAAUACAUUGUCCAUGGGAAAAACCUGGCUUCCUUUAUGUAACUUGUGUCGCUUUGGAAACAUAAUAAACACUAUGAAUUUCGUGGUGAGAACUACAUAGAUGAAAGAUGAGCUGAGUGACCAUUGUAUAUGGGGAAACAGUGUGACCCUAUACACACGCCAUGUAUAAGAUCAAUGUAAAUGAGCUGCAUGACCUGCCUUCGUACCUUUCUUUGUACAUCGUUAGUCCUUUUGGGCUAUCAUGCUACCAUGACUCAAGUAUAAACCAUUAUGUAUAAAGAUACUAUCUAAGUAUCCAUUUACAUGGU